UUAAAUAAAAAAUGUAAAAAUAAAAAAUUUGGGUCAAUUAUUUUAUUAAAAAUAAAUUUAUUAUUAUUAUUAUUAUUUGUUGUAACUUAUAAAAAAGAAUCUGUAACUUAAAUUGUACUUAAAAAUAAAUUUUAAAUAAAUUUUUUUUUUGAUGUUGAACCGUUAGAUAGUAUGGUUUCAAUCUAAACCGUAGAAAGGGUGCUUGUGUAGACUUUUCCCUCACCAAAAUACUCUUAAAAACUUACCCAAAAAACAAAGAGGGUGCGGUUUAUAUAGAGCCCAGGCUCUAAACAAUCAAAUUAGAGCCUACCUUCAAAUAGUGUAAAGAAAUGUGGUUUCAAUGUGAGAAAUCUUUACGAUAACCUUAAAAUAUAUUUUCAUAUUUAUUUAUAAAGUUUAAAGCUUAAAAAAUAAUGUAGAUUGACAUAUCUAUAAAAACUUGAAAAUCUUGAAAUUAUUGAGAUAGGCUCAAAUUUGAUUAUUUAGAGCCUCAGCUCUUUAUAAACUUUUCCCAAAAAAAAAAAACUUUUAAAAGGGCAAGGUGCUGCUUGGUUGGCCAAUAAACACUACGUGCACUCGCCAAAAAGCACUAGACCUAGGACAUUUGAUCAUUUUAGUAAAUAGUAAUUAUAAACCAAGAGAAUGUUUGUAAAUAUUGUUUUCCUCAUGUGAAAAGCUAAGGAGCAGUAGACAAAUAGUGGCAUUUACACAUGUCAAAAAUAGUGAAAAACUUUUGACAAUGAUAUAAAAAUAUAUAUAUAAUGGGACAAUUUAUUUUUUAUACAAGAAUGUCAUAUUCAUUAUUGACCGUGGG
rnacentral:lncRNA from 1 species